rnacentral:rRNA from 1 species
UUGACAAAACUCGGCGUAAAGAGUGGUUAAGGAUAAAAACAGAUUAAAGACGAAAACUACCCGGGCAGUAAUACGCUUCCGGUAAAAGUGUAAGCCCCACCACGAAA